UUCCCUUAGUUUGUUUUCGCCCUUCAUCUUUGUGCAGAGAGAGAGAGAGAGAGAGAGAGAGAGAGAUCUGCUGUCUGUGUUUACAUUUCGUGGUCGGUAGUUGACAUUUCGCUCGCUGUAGAUUUGCGUGUUUUUCAUGUAUUUUCCGGUCUCUAACGCCGCCAAUACAGUGGCGGCAGGCAGUGUGUGUGCGUGUGUGUGUGUGUGUGCGCGACAAAGAGAGACGGACAGAGAGAAGGGGGGAUGAACAUAAGGGCAGGAGGAGUAUUUUGGUCAGCACUGGUCAGUCUUGCCCCAUACACACACACACACACACACACACACUAGUGACCAGUGUUUCCAUAUUCCCUGGAGCUUCCUCCUGCAUUAAACACCACCAAGCAUCAUCAAAGAGACACGACUGCUUAAUGACAGUGAUGGAAGCAGAAUGUUUUCCUCGGCAUUGGUCAGUCUUAACACACACACACACACACACACACACACACAGACACUAGUGACCAGUGCUUCCAUAUUCCCUGCAGCUUCCUCCUGCAUCAAACACCACCAAGCAUCACUAGAGAGACACGGCUACUUAAUGUAAUGUGAGUACAGCAAUGACUGCCUCGGUUAACAUCACCGCCUACACCAUAACACUCAACCCUUCCUCCUCCCUCCAGUAGCGUCUUUCAGUUCUUCAUUAUUAUUCGUUAUUAGGGUACUUUUUGAGAUUAUCGAUUUAUAUUUUACUUAUGUUUAUAUCUGAGUCGCGAUAUAGCUUGAAAUUUAGUAAAAAAUAAUGAAGGAUCGUCAAAAUGACAUCUGCGGUAGACAUAGGUCGUCCCUACUCAGCCAUUAUUUGCUUUAUUUCUCACGUAUUGUAAGCCAAACAUGUCACAAAAUGUAGCCUCAGUUCGAAUUUUCAUGUCCGCCUGUGAGGUAUAUCGCCAUUGCCUGGCUUUAGUGUGAUAACAGAGUAAUUCAGGCAAAUUAGCGGCCGCCAUGUUUGAUCUCUACAGGCCCCAGCCUGCUCUUCGGUUCCAAUAUAUUUUCGUUUUCCUUAACUCUUUAAGUUCGGUUUCUAAGUAAUUUUUUAUGGUUUGUAUAAAUGUUUCGUUGCUUAUGAAGUGGUUUUGAGGCUUUUGUUAAGGAAAUGUGUUGUAUUUGCUGUUGUUUAUAACGUAACUAUAGGCCUGUUUUUGGGCUGAAUUUUACGGAACCCCAUUGUUGGCUUUUUUAUUCGAGGCUAUAAUGAAGUUCUUUAUACUUUAAAAAAUCGCUUAUGAUUUUUAAACUGGUUUGCCGUCCUGUUGAGUUAAAUAUGUGGACUUUAAAAUGAUUUGUGGUCCUGUUAAAAGUCGAAAUGUUGACAUUUUUUAUUUCCUUAUUUCCUUAUUUGAGCUUUUAAGUAACUCUAGGUUAUUUGAAAAAAUAGUUCAGAUUUUUUAAAGUGCUUUGCAUUGCUAUUAAGUUAAAAUGGGUGGACUUUUCAAUGUUUUUUAUUCGUGUUUAGGUUCCAACACUUUUUUCUACAGAUUUAUUUUUCAUUCGUUUACUUCUGGUUCUAGGUAAGUUUUAAUUGAUUGAAAAGAUAGUUCAUAUUUUUAAAGUGUUUUUAUUUCUGUUAAGUGAAAAAAUAGGUAGACUUUUCAAUGGUUUUAAUGGGGUCAAAUGUUCCAACGUUUUUUUCAUAAUUCAUAUUGAUAUUUCUUUCAUACUACUGAGGCUGGAGAUGUUAUAAUAUUAUGAAUAUUUAUUAAAGUAAUUAUCAAGUCAGAAUAUAUAAUGCAUUCCAACCUAGCUCCAUUUUUUCUAUGGGUCAAUUUUAAAAUGAAAUACGUUACGCACGUAUCCUGGCGUGACGUCACGACCUCAGGUGUGACGUCAUCAGGGGGCCGGGGGGGGUCUCUGCCACAGACCCUUAUCUUCAAUAUUUCGAGUAAUUUCUAGUAUUUUUGACGUUUUUCCGUGUGUUUCUUAACUCAGGCAUGUAGAUCGUAGUUGUAGGAGGAAGAAAAAAGGAUAAAUAGGGAAGGAGGACCGAAAACAAAGGAGAAAAGAAGCAAAACAGGGAAAUCCUAAGACAACAAUAUUUAGCUUAGUUUUCUAUGCUGCCCUUUCUUUCUUUGUAAUAUUUUCUUUGCCUGAGAGUGUCAGACUUUUUAAUGUGUUUGGAUGCGUUUUUUAGGUGAUUGAGUGUGUUUGGCGUGUUUUGGGUGCAUUUUGGUUUGUUCGUGUUUGUUUUGUAGGUGUUUGAAUAUGUUCGUGAGUGUAUUUUUUGUGUGUUUGGAGGUGUUUUGAGUGUGUUCUGGUGGUUUUAGGGUAUUUUGGAAUGUUUUAGAUGAUCUUGGCUGCCCUUUAAAGUGAUUUUGGGUGUUUUGAAUGUGUUUUGGGGUGAGCUAGGGAGGCAGGAAGAAAUGGUUAGGUCAGGUUGUGGGCUGGUUAGGGAUUAUUUGGGUGUGGUUUGAGGUUAACUGAGGUAUUUUGAGACUGGUUAGCAUUUUUUAUGUGUGUAUUGGGGUGU